rnacentral:rRNA from 1 species
GGCUCAGAUUGAACGCUGGCGGCAUGCCUUACACAUGCAAGUCGAACGGCAGCACGGGAGCAAUCCUGGUGGCGAGUGGCGAACGGGUGAGUAAUAUAUCGGAACGUGCCCAGUCGUGGGGGAUAACGUAGCGAAAGCUACGCUAAUACCGCAUGAGAACUGAGGUUGAAAGCGGGGACCUUCGGGCCUCGCGCUACUGGAGCGGCCGAUAUCAGAUUAGGUAGUUGGUGGGGUAAAGGCCUACCAAGCCGACGAUCUGUAGCUGGUCUGAGAGGACGACCAGCCACACUGGGACUGAGACACGGCCCAGACUCCUACGGGAGGCAGCAGUGGGGAAUUUUGGACAAUGGACGCAAGUCUGAUCCAGCAAUGCCGCGUGCAGGACGAAGGCCUUCGGGUUGUAAACUGCUUUUGUACAGAACGAAAAGGCUCUGGUUAAUACCUGGGGCUCAUGACGGUACUGUAAGAAUAAGCACCGGCUAACUACGUG